rnacentral:rRNA from 1 species
UACAGGGGAUGCUAGUGUUAUCCAAAUUUAUUGGGCGUAAAGCGUUUGUAGGUGGAUAUUUAAGUCUUUUUGUUAAACCUUUUGGGCUUAACCUAAAAUAUGCAAAAAGAAACUAUUUAUCUUGAGUAUGGUAGAGGUAAAGGGAAUUUCCAGUGGAGCGGUGAAAUGCGUAGAUAUUUGGAAAAGAACACCAAAAAGCGAAGGCACUUU